UCACCCCUCAAGCCCGGCUUGUUGUUGGAUGCAACCGCCCACUACCCGGGCGGUUCCUCCCAAAGAUAAUGACGGCGUCUGUGAAGGACUCCAGUACACUGAGCUUUCGGGCACGUACUCGGAUAGAACUCCAGGCCCGGUCUUGUGUCACCUAUUGUCUUAGGUGGCUACUUUUACCAA
rnacentral:misc_RNA from 1 species